rnacentral:ncRNA from 1 species
AGAACGUCGUAAUUACAUUGCGACCUACUACUAUAAAGUAGUAGAAAAAUUCGGCUAAUAUCGGUGGAAUCCUAUUUAUUAUAUUUGACCGGACGUAGAUGGGGCUAUACCGAGGGAAGUUCAAUGCAAAUUGGACCCCGUAACGACUGAUUCCAAGUACCGAGAGGGAACGGAUGAGAUCAGAAGUCAUAUUUUUUCUUCUAUAAACAAUAUUCUGAUCAUACGCCGACUCCCAGUCAGUAGACUGGGAUGAAGAUAUAGUCUAUGCCACUAGUAAUAGUGGA